AUGCACGCUGGCGGCGUGCCUAAUACCUGCAAGUCGCGCGCACAGACGAGGAGCUUGCUCCUCUGACGUUAGCGGCGGACGGGUGAGUAACACGUGGAUAACCUACCUAUAAGACUGGGAUAACUUCGGGAAACCGGAGCUAAUACCGGAUAAUAUAUUGAACCGCAUGGUUCAAUAGUGAAAGACGGUUUUGCUGUCACUUAUAGAUGGAUCCGCGCCGCAUUAGCUAGUUGGUAAGGUAACGGCUUACCAAGGCAACGAUGCGUAGCCGACCUGAGAGGGUGAUCGGCCACACUGGAACUGAGACACGGUCCAGACUCCUACGGGAGGCAGCAGUAGGGAAUCUUCCGCAAUGGGCGAAAGCUUGACGGAGCAACGCCGCGUGAGUGAUGAAGGUCUUCGGAUCGUAAAACUCUGUUAUUAGGGAAGAACAAAUGUGUAAGUAACUAUGCACGUCUUGACGGUACCUAAUCAGAAAGCCACGGCUAACUACGUG
rnacentral:rRNA from 1 species